rnacentral:rRNA from 1 species
AAUGGGGGAAACCCUGAUCCAGCAAUGCCGCGUGUGUGAUGAAGGCCCUAGGGUUGUAAAGCACUUUCAAUGGUGAAGAUGAUGACGGUAGCCAUAGAAGAAGCCCCGGCUAACUUCGUGCCAGCAGCCGCGGUAAUACGAAGGGGGCGAGCGUUGUUCGGAAUUACUGGGCGUAAAGGGCGCGCAGGCGGUCAAUCCAGUCAGGUGUGAAAGCCCCGGGCUCAACCUGGGAACUGCACUUGAUACUGAUUGACUAGAAAACGGAAGAGGGCAGUGGAAUUCCCAGUGUAGAGGUGAAAUUCGUAGAUAUUGGGAAGAACACCAGUGGCGAAAGCGGCUGCCUGGUCCGAUUUUGACGCUGAGGCGCGAAAGCGUGGGGAGCAAACAGGAUU